rnacentral:rRNA from 1 species
GACAGAGGGUGCAAACGUUGUUCGGAAUUACUGGGCGUAAAGCGCGUGUAGGCGGCUAUGCAAGUCGGGCGUGAAAGCCCUCGGCUCAACCGAGGAAGUGCACUCGAAACUGCGUAGCUAGAGUCCCGGAGAGGAAGGUGGAAUACUUGGUGUAGAGGUGAAAUUCGCAGAUAUCAGGAAGAACACCCGUGGCGAAGGCGGUUCUCUGGGACGGUACUGACGCUGAGACGCGAAAGCGUGGGGAGCGAACAGG